rnacentral:rRNA from 1 species
AUGUUGUUCUACUUACGGUUGGAUUGGGGUGUUCAUCACCACAACCUCCCUUUUGCUAGGAGUUUUUCACCUGGCUGAACAUAAAUCUCGGCGCUAACUGCGUCAAGGAACUUAAUCUUGUCUCGUGCGCCCUCGUUGACCCAAAUAUGGUGAUCUGCGGGUUGUAUUGUGGCAUUUGUAAACAUAAAAUGACUCUCGGCAACGGAUAUCUCGGCUCUUGCAUCGAUGAAGAACGUAGCGAAAUGCGAUACUUGGUGUGAAUUGCAGAAUCCCGUGAACCAUCGAGUCUUUGAACGCAAGUUGCGCCUGAAGCCAUUAGGUUGAGGGCACGCCUGCUUGGGUGUCACACAAUGUUACCCCAAUGUCGAUGCAGUACUCAAACUAUUUGCAGCGGGGUAAUUGUUGGCUUCCCGUGAGCAUUGUCUUGCGGUUAGUUAAAAGUUGAGUCCGUUAUGGAGAGUACCGUAAUAGAUGGCGGUUGAUUGAAAGAUCGAGACCAAUU